AAAACUUCCAGCAACGGAUCUCUGGGCUCUCGCACCGAUGAAGAACGCAGCAAAAGGCGAUACGUGGUCCGACUUGCAGACGUGAAUCAUUAAUCUUUGAACGCACAUUGC
rnacentral:rRNA from 1 species